rnacentral:misc_RNA from 1 species
UGACAGAGGCUUUCUUUAGUACGAAAGGACCAAGAAAGCAGGACCAAUGUUAAAAACACGUCCUCACAAUAAAACUGAAAUCAACUAAAAUUACCCUCACCACUAGGCCGAAGACGACGGCUAAGUUAGGGUGGCAGAGCCAAGUAUUGCAAAAGACCUAAGAUCUUUCAAACAGAAGUGCAAAUCUUCUCCCUAACC